UACGUAGGGUGCAAGCGUUAAUCGGAAUUACUGGGCGUAAAGCGUGCGCAGGCGGUUUGCUAAGAGAGAUGUGAAAUCCCCGGGCUUAACCUGGGAACUGCGUUUCUAACUGGCAGGCUUGAGUGUGGCAGAGGGGGGUGGAAUUCCACGUGUAGCAGUGGAAAUGCGUAGAGAUGUGGAGGAACACCGAUGGCGAAGGCAGCCCCCUGGGUCAAGAUUGACGCUCAUGCA
rnacentral:rRNA from 1 species